AAAAUGCACCUGCAUUUUUUUCACUCUUGGAAAAAGUCAGGAAUACGUUAUUUCAGGAGCUUCAGGACUUUCUACCAGCUCGUGGAUGUGCACGAGCGUCAUGUGCACCGCCGGGUCAGUGCUCCGUACAGAGAGGAGACGGCACACUUCACCCUCAACUCUUUA